CUUCAUCGCUGUCCAGAGAGAACACUAUGACUUCCUGGUACCACUGGCCAAUCAGCUAAAGGGGAAGGUGUUGGUGGACCUCAGUAACAACCUGAGGAAGAAUCAGUACCCAGAGGCCAACGCAGAGUACCUGCAAAGUCUGGUCCCUGGAGCUGGGGUGGUUAAAGG